rnacentral:lncRNA from 1 species
UUGGAUGACUUUAGGUUGGCAUAUACAGUAUAUGUGAGUCAACUACUUUUUCCCUUAUUCUUCUAUUCUAUACAGGGUGGAGGUACCAGAGUUAUGCACAUAGAAAUCAGCCCCAUCCGCUUGCUACAGAGUUAUCUGGUGGUAUCUCGAUCAUUCCACACGAGAUAAGCCCUGCCGCCAUCUUUGCUCACCUGAUUCGGAGCAGCAAUUUACUGCAGCUAGCGCAUGUAAUCAUGCCCACAUCCGGGUGAGUAUCCAGUGGUUUCCUUCUGCGCACUGUUAUGCAUUAACGCAAUUUCAGUUCUUUAAUGGAUCCUGAUGAUGUCAUUCAGGUGAUUAUUUAUUGUGUAGAUGCACCCUAUUUUCUGACUUCCUGAGUUAUGGUGGAGCUUAGCUUUUAUGUGAGAUCGAAGGGAAUUCACUUCAGUGAUGGAUGAAAAAAUCAUUUGUGAGAGUUGGGUGUUUUAUGUAUUGUUAAUUGUUAAAGGAGAUUGAAAUUCCUGGCUUGGCGUUGGUGGUCAUAGUCUACGGCUCUCAAUUUUGUCCUCCUUCACAGAUUUAGUCCUUUACUAGCUUUCAGUGCUUCACUUUUGCCAUUGAAAAUGUAACCUUCAGGGAUUUUCAGAGAGCAACAUUCAGUGGUUCAUAUACAGGUCUGAUAGGUAUUGUGGCAUUCCAGUCCUUGGCCGUGGAGUUCAUUCUUGCAUAUGUAUUUUUUUAGUUCAUUCUUACAUAUGUAUUGUAUUCUUAGCAGCAAUAUUUUUUGAUGAUAUGUCCGACAUCAUCUAAUCUUUUGUGAACACUUGCUAGAGUAUAUGAUACAAUGAGAGUAUCUUAUUU